rnacentral:rRNA from 1 species
UGCAAGUCGAGCGAACGGACGAGAAGCUUGCUUCUCUGAUGUCAGCGGCGGACGGGUGAGUAACACGUGGAUAACCUACCUAUAAGACUGGGAUAACUUCGGGAAACCGGAGCUAAUACCGGAUAAUAUUUUGAACCGCAUGGUUCAAAAGUGAAAGACGGUCUUGCUGUCACUUAUAGAUGGAUCCGCGCUGCAUCAGCUAGUUGGUAAGGUAACGGCUUACCAAGGCAACGAUGCAUAGCCGACCUGAGAGGGUGAUCGGCCACACUGGAACUGAGACACGGUCCAGACUCCUACGGGAGGCAGCAGUAGGGAAUCUUCCGCAAUGGGCGAAAGCCUGACGGAGCAACGCCGCGUGAGUGAUGAAGGUCUUCGGAUCGUAAAACUCUGUUAUUAGGGAAGAACAUAUGUGUAAGUAACUGUGCACAUCUUGACGGUACCUAAUCAGAAAGCCACGGCUAACUACGUGCCAGCAGCCGCGGUAAUACGUAGGUGGCAAGCGUUAUCCGGAAUUAUUGGGCGUAAAGCGCGCGUAGGCGGUUUUUUAAGUCUGAUGUGAAAGCCCACGGCUCAACCGUGGAGGGUCAUUGGAAACUGGAAAACUUGAGUGCAGAAGAGGAAAGUGGAAUUCCAUGUGUAGCGGUGAAAUGCGCAGAGAUAUGGAGGAACACCAGUGGCGAAGGCGACUUUCUGGUCUGUAACUGACGCUGAUGUGCGAAAGCGUGGGGAUCAAACAGGAUUAGAUACCCUGGUAGUCCACGCCGUAAACGAUGAGUGCUAAGUGUUUAGGGGGUUUCCGCCCCUUAGUGCUGCAGCUAACGCAUUAGCACUCC